UGCAGCACCUCAGAUUGGGAGGCAAGCACGCUAGCAAGGGAGCUGAAACCCAUGGGUGCUAGCAUCUCUUACUAGCAUGUCUCUUAAGGCUUCAGGAGAGAGG